AGUGUGGACUAAUCCCUCAGCGGU
rnacentral:siRNA from 1 species